rnacentral:rRNA from 1 species
AUGCUCUUAAUGAUCCCGGCUCAUGAUUUAAUUGCCAUGUAUUUAGCUAUUGAGCUUCAAAGUUUAUGUUUUUAUGUGAUCGCAGCAUCAAAAAGAAAGUCUGAAUUUUCCACGGAAGCCGGCUCAAAAUAUUUGAUCUUAGGUGCAUUUCCCUCUGGAAUAUUAUUGUUCGGGUGCGACCGGACUACUACCGAUCAAUUUUUGGGAACUUGUUUAUAG